GCAUUCUUAGCUCAGUUGGAUAGAGCAACAACCUUCUAAGUUGAAGGUCACAGGUUCAAAUCCUGUAGGGUGCA
rnacentral:tRNA from 1 species